GUACUCACUUUGGCAGCACAUAUACUAAAGUUGGAACAAUACAGAUAUUAGCAUGGCCCCCUGCACAAGGAUAACAUACAAAUUCAUAAGCAUUCCACUUUUUUU